rnacentral:tRNA from 1 species
GGCCCUUUAGCUCAGAGGUAGAGCAGGCAACUCAUAAUUGCUCGGUCGCUGGUUCGAAUCCGGCAAGGGUCA